UCAGAAAUACUUGCUGGCAAUGAAAAAAUAAGAUGCUGCCCAGGCCACCUCUGCUGGGAAAGCUUUAUGUCGUGCAAGAAAGAUUCAGAUUUGGCAGAGAAAUGGUGAGAAUAUCACCUGCCCAGAGGACUUGGCAGAGGAACUUUCCUGCACUUGUCUCCAGGAAAGGGGUUUUGAAACGCGACAAGUCUGGUGGAUUCGGUAACACUAAGGCAAAACUGGGAAGUGAAGAGACAGGAGAAGCAAGUUUCAUUAACAGAGAGA